CGCUCUGCCUUGUCCUGAAUUGACUUUUACUUUUUUUUAGUUUUCCUUUUAUUUACUUUUAAGCUUGAAUACCUUUCUAAAAUGACCACUGUGUAAUCUAGUGUACUGAUAGCUGCAUGCUGCUUAAAGCCACCAUGUGUAGAAUUUUAUGACUUUGGCUGAAAAGCAAUACAGGUUGCACCAGUUUUCUUUUUUAAGACUGUCUUAUUUAU